GAUGAACGCUGGCGGCGUGCCUAAUACAUGCAAGUCGAGCGAGCAGACGAGGAGCUUGCUCCUCUGACGUUAGCGGCGGACGGGUGAGUAACACGUGGAUAACCUACCUAUAAGACUGGGAUAACUUCGGGAAACCGGAGCUAAUACCGGAUAAUAUAUUGAACCGCAUGGUUCAAUAGUGAAAGACGGUUUUGCUGUCACUUAUAGAUGGAUCCGCGCCGCAUUAGCUAGUUGGUAAGGUAACGGCUUACCAAGGCAACGAUGCGUAGCCGACCUGUGAGGGUGAUCGGCCACACUGGAACUGAGACACGGUCCAGACUCCUACGGGAGGCAGCAGUAGGGAAUCUUCCGCAAUGGGCGAAAGCCUGACGGAGCAACGCCGCGUGAGUGAUGAAGGUCUUCGGAUCGUAAAACUCUGUUAUUAGGGAAGAACAAAUGUGUAAGUAACUAUGCACGUCUUGACGGUACCUAAUCAGAAAGCCACGGCUAACUACGUG
rnacentral:rRNA from 1 species